rnacentral:misc_RNA from 1 species
AAUUUUAAUAAAUAUGGCGCCGGCUCUCUAGCUUUCCUUUGGCUGAUGCUUGGCUAGGUCAUUGGUUUAUUUAUCACCAAAAAUACUUUUAUUUUAGUAAAUAGAGUAGUAAUAAAUAAUAAAUGUUAUAGACAGUAGACAUUUUGUUAUAUAUAAAAGAAACCACAACAUUGUAAACAUCAAAAAUGUACGAUGAUAGGCGUGGCGGUCGUGGUGGUGGACGUGGGGGCGGUCGGGGCGGUGGCCGCGGCGGCCGAGGAGUCUCCCGUGGUGGAUCUAGAUCAGGCGAUAGGUCUCAGGAUAGAAGUAGCCGCUUCAGUGGCGGGGGCCGAGGCCGGGAUGGUGGGCGAGGAGGGCGAGAUGGCGGCCGUGGGUUCGGUGGGCGUGGUGGGCGGGACGACUUCCGCGGCGGUUUCAAAAACGAUCAGCCCGGUGGCAAUCUCCGCAAAAUCCGAUGGGAUACAGUCACGCUAACACCAUUCGAGAAAAACUUUUACGUCCCCCAUCCGAAUGUCCAGAGACGCUCACAAGCUGAAGUAGAGGCUUACCGUAGCCAACAUCAGAUAACAGUGAAAGGCCAUAAUGUACCUUCCCCUAGCAUUUACUUUGAAGAAGGGGGAUUUCCAGAUUAUGCCAUGCAGGAGAUUUUAAAACAGGGUUUCCCUAAUCCGACUGCUAUCCAGGCUCAGGGCUGGCCCAUAGCACUGUCAGGGCGUGAUAUGGUUGGAAUAGCCCAAACAGGAUCAGGGAAGACAUUGGCAUACAUUUUACCAGCCAUUGUUCACAUUAUAAAUCAGCCACGACUGCUACGAGACGAUGGGCCAAUUGUGCUUGUUUUGGCUCCAACUAGAGAACUUGCACAGCAAAUACAGCAGGUGGCUACAGACUUUGGGCAAAAUGUGCAAGUCAGGAACACUUGUAUAUUUGGUGGGGCUCCUAAGGGCCCUCAAGGCAGGUGCUUAGAGAGAGGUGUCGAAAUAGUAAUCGCUACUCCAGGAAGGCUCAUUGAUUUCUUAGAAAAAGGAACAACAAAUUUGCGGCGUUGCACCUACUUGGUGCUGGAUGAGGCGGACAGGAUGUUAGAUAUGGGUUUCGAACCCCAAAUCAGGAAGAUUAUUGAGCAAAUCCGACCUGAUAGACAGGUAUUGAUGUGGUCUGCAACUUGGCCGAAAGAGGUACAAAAUCUAGCAGAAGAAUUUCUCCAUGAUUACAUCCAAAUCAACAUUGGUUCGCUCACAUUGUCAGCCAACCACAAUAUUCUCCAAAUAGUAGAUGUUUGUGAGGAAUGGGAGAAGGAUGAUAAGCUGAUCACAUUGCUCACUGAAAUAUCAUCGGAGGAAGAAACAAAAACCAUUAUAUUUGCUGAGACUAAGAGAAAGGUUGACGAUAUAACAAAAACAAUAAACCGCGCUGGUUGGCGGGCGCUUGCCAUACACGGCGACAAGAACCAGCAGGACCGCGAUUAUGUUCUCAGUCAGUUCCGACAGAAUAAUGGCGGGAUACUUGUAGCAACCGACGUCGCCGCUAGAGGAUUGGAGGCGCAUGCGUGCAGAGAUAAAGGCUAGCCUAGGCGUGUGUUGCUGACUUCACGAUUAAUUAACAAUAACCAUUCGCAUGAUGGGAUUAUUAAAAGACAGCAUUGUAUGAACUGUCAGCGCACACUAUUCGAAUGAGCAUGCUGCCUCUAGUAACGUAGCAAAAUAUUAAAAGGGUCGUGGGGUGUAAAGGGGAAUCGAAUGCAGAGUAUUUAUUACAUUUUACACCAAAUAAAAUUUUGAAGAUUUAUAACAAUUCAAAUGAAAUCUGAAAUUGAAAUUGUCAUUUCAAAUAUAUAUCUUAUAGUUUCAAGUAGAUUUGUUAUGUUAACUGAUAAAUUUGAACGGAAUAACAUCAUUGGAUGAAUCUGAUAAGAGCAAUAUAUGCUUGGUUAAUUGUCAUGAGAGAUUUAACGAAAACUAAACCCUACGCCACCUGACAACUAAUAGCAAAGUAGCGAACACAAUGUACGUUGGCCUACAAGUCAGCACACCAGUCCACUCUUGGCCUACAACACUCCGGAACCACUGACGGGCAUAAUACAGUUAUUUCCAGCAGUUCCUGCUCCGGCUUCAUGGCACUCAUAAGAUGUGGAGGACGUGAAGUUCGUAAUAAACUAUGAUUAUCCAAAUAAUUCCGAGGACUACGUACACCGUAUCGGUCGCACGGGCCGCUCGCAGAAUACUGGCACUGCAUACACGCUGUUCACGCCGAACA